UACGAAGGGGGCUAGCGUUGCUCGGAAUCACUGGGCGUAAAGCGCACGUAGGCGGAUUGCUAAGUCAGGGGUGAAAUCCUGGAGCUCAACUCCAGAACUGCCUUUGAUACUGGUGAUCUUGAGUCCGGGAGAGGUGAGUGGAACUGCGAGUGUAGCGGUGAAAUGCGUAGAGAUGUGGAGGAACACCGAUGGCGAAGGCAGCCUCCUGGGCCAACACUGACGCUCAUGCACGAAAGCGUGGGGAGCAAACAGG
rnacentral:rRNA from 1 species